rnacentral:lncRNA from 1 species
CAGAUCAACAUCAAAAGCUACAAACUGGAAACAGAGGAAGAUACUAGCCCCGUGUUUCUGAUUCAGUAUCACUGAAAUACUUUGGAACCAUAUAAAGGGCAAAGUACAUUCCACAUGUUGAAGGACAGUGCCUGGCCCUGUGGGGUGUCAUCCCCAAGCUGUAGGCAUAGUGGCAACCCAGGGGUUCAUCUCAACUCCCAUCAGAGUUCAAACAUUGAAUUAGUUGUGCAAUGGAAGGAGUAUUACCAGGACCCAGAUGCAGCCCAAGGAAAAAAGAAAACAAAAGGAGACACACACAGACACCAGAGCAUGAUGCAAGUGUGGCUUAAUCGGUGCUUGCACAUUGGGCUUGUUCUUUCCAAACCUGUUGCCCCGAUUCUGCAAGGCUAUCCUGCUGUAGAAGGAGGCCCUGGAGGACAAGACACCAUGUGGGGAAAACAGCCAUGGGGAGCAGAACCGAGGUAUCCCAGCUUAGCUCCCAACUGACAGCAGCCACAUGAGUGAGCAGAAAAACAACUUCCAAGGGUGAUUUAGCUACUGCUGCUGUGGAAUGUCAAAACUUUCAGCAAGGGAGCCCGAUGCAGAUCUGUUGAUAUGACACCAUUCCACAAGAAGACCAACUGAUGGCUUUGUGGCAAGUUGAC